UACGAAGGGGGCUAGCGUUGCUCGGAAUCACUGGGCGUAAAGCGCACGUAGGCGGAUCUUUAAGUCAGGGGUGAAAUCCCGAGGCUCAACCUCGGAACUGCCCUUGAUACUGGGGAUCUCGAGUCCGGAAGAGGUUGGUGGAACUCCGAGUGUAGAGGUGAAAUCCGUAGAUAUUCGGAAGAACACCAGUGGCGAAGGCGGCCAACUGGUCCGGCACUGACGCUGAGGUGCGAAAGCGUGGGGAGCAAACAGG
rnacentral:rRNA from 1 species